CUUCACGUCUUAUUUCCCUUAUUAUAUGUGAUCAUAAUUUUAUGUCAGCGAGGCCAUCGUGCCUUACACUUUAUUUCGCAUGCUAAAUUCGAAUAAUGCUAAAGAAACUGUCAUGUGAACAAAAAUAGAUGUGCUAUAAAUUAAUCAUUUCUUUCUUUAAAUUUUUUUGUUAUUUUUGCGUAUUUGAGGUAAAGAAAGUAUUGUUUGUUGAUGGCGUCUCGGUCGGCCAAUUUAUCACUUGACCGCGCGUGAUUGCGACUUCAAGAGCUUCUUCGAGUACUAGUGAUUAAUGGAGGUUGUUUGGAAGGGAAAGUUACGGGGUAGAUGAAAAAUAAUACUGAUGGUCACACUUGGGGGCAUUACAAAAACGUGGACAGAUAGCGGAGGAGUUAAAUUCCAUUGUGGGAAAUGCAUUUCGGAUGGCGUACGCGGCUCAACUACAGAAACAACCAACAUUACAAGAUGUUAUUAGCUCACAAUUAGAUUCUAAUACUGAUAAAGUACUUUGG